UAAUAAGGUUUAGAAUAUAAAAUUUGAAUUGAGCGCUCAAUGCAAUUGUCCUGACAUGUUGACUCAUUGACGGCUGAUUGAUAACUGAUUGUUCUUGAGCCCGGGGGUGGGAGGAGCUUUCCCUUUUAUAGCGGAACCUCGUGUUUAACGUCUGCUCGAGAAUUCAUCAAAACAAACACCGAGGCUAUGUACGCACUAUGAAAGCACUAUGAAUGUUAAGAUGGCUUGGAAACUUUGCCUUCAAAUUCAUUUAUUCAUUAUUCUGUGGUUAUUCUACUUGGAUCGAAGCCCAGUUCAGGUGUUCUUCUCCUCUAUUCAGAUGCAUAGGAAGGGGCCAAUAAGGAUGCGAGAAACGUCCUAUCUGAUUGAUACAAGCUUCGACAUCCAAUCAACAUGACAAAGAAAGGCUUGAGUGCGACUCAGUCAUAACUUUAAAAAGAAAAUAAACAUAUAUGUUUGAA